CCUACGGGUGGCAGCAGUGAGGAAUAUUGGUCAAUGGGCGGAAGCCUGAACCAGCCAAGUCGCGUGAGGGAAUAAGGCCCUACGGGUCGUAAACCUCUUUUGCCGGGGAGCAAGGGCGGGGACGUGUCCCGGCCCGGAGAGUACCCGGAGAAAAAGCAUCGGCUAACUCCGUGCCAGCAGCCGCGGUAAUACGUAGGUGGCGAGCGUUAUCCGGAAUGAUUGGGCGUAAAGGGUGCGCAGGCGGUCCUGCAAGUCUGGAGUGAAACGCAUGAGCUCAACUCAUGCAUGGCUUUGGAAACUGGAGGACUGGAGAGCAGGAGAGGGCGGUGGAACUCCAUGUGUAGCGGUAAAAUGCGUAGAUAUAUGGAAGAACACCAGUGGCGAAGGCGGCCGCCUGGCCUGUUGCUGACGCUGAGGCACGAAAGCGUGGGGAGCAAAUAGGAUUAGAUACCCUUGUAGUC
rnacentral:rRNA from 1 species